AUGACAAAUGGCUCUUGAUAACCUUCCCAGGUCAAUCCUGGGAGAGUAGACAAAAGCAAAGAAAACAAAUUGACUACAGACAUUGACAUUCAUCCUACUUGAAGAGAGAACCAGUCUGCGUGAAAAACAGAGUAAACUUCAAAAGAAUCCAGCAAUUGCCCUGAACUGACCCAUAAAGAGAAAUUAGAAAUCGAAAGUUGAAAAUUAGGAAGCUCAAGAGUGAAUCUGAGGACUGAUGUGCUCCACACAUUACCUUCAAGACUGUUUAGUUUAAACAAAGGAUAGCUCACUUCAUUAAAUGGAUAAUCUUUGGAUUCUGCUUCAUUAGUAGUCAAUCUCAAUGAAUCUGUUCCACAUAUUACCUUCAAGAUUAAUUUACUUUUUCUUCUCCAGGACACAGUGUUUAGAAAAACCAGAUAGAAAAGCCACCAAGCUUACCAUUUCAACCAAGGAUAAAUAUAAGAACAUCCCAGCAGUGACUGUGAAGAUCCAGUCUUGAACACAUGGAUCAGCUGACACGGAAAGGCCA